rnacentral:pre_miRNA from 1 species
ACAUAAAUCACCUGGGGACCUCGUUAAGAUGCAGAUUCUGAUUCAGUAAGGCUGGGCUGGGACCUGGGAUUCUGCACUAACAAGCUCCCAGGUGAUGCUGAU